rnacentral:rRNA from 1 species
CCUACGGGAGGCUGCAGUGGGGAAUAUUGCACAAUGGGGGAAACCCUGAUGCAGCGACGCCGCGUGAGUGAAGAAGUAAUUCGUUGUGUUAAGCUCUAUCAGCAGGGGAGAAAAUGACGGUAUGUGAGUAAGAAGCCCCGGCUAACUACGUGCCAGCAGCGGCGGUAAUACGUAGGGGGCAAGCGUUAUCCGGAGGGACUGGGUGUAAAGAGUUGCGUAGGUGGCAUAAUAAGUAGCGAGUGAAAUCUGGUGGCUUAACCAUUCAGACUAUUAGCUAAACUGUUAAGCUCGAGGGCGUUAGAGGUAACUGGAAUUUCUAGUGUAGGAGUGAAAUCCGUAGAUAUUAGGAGGAACACCAAUAGCGUAGGCAGGUUGCUGGGACGGUUCUGACACUAAGGCACGAAAGCGUAGGGAGCAAACGGGAUUAGAUACCCCUGUAGUC